rnacentral:misc_RNA from 1 species
AAGUCGUAACAAGGUUUCCGUAGGUGAACCUGCGGAAGGAUCAUUAUUGAAACUUGAAUCGUAGCAUUGAGAACUGUUGCUGACCUGUUAAAGGGUAUGUGCACGUUCGACGUGUUGCGUUCUAUUCAUCCACCUGUGCACCUUUGUAGACUCGAUUAACUUUCGCUCUCGAGCGGUUAGAAGGGUUGCUUUCGAGCUCCCUUUGUCUAUCAAGUCUAUGUCUAUAUAAUCUCUUGUAUGUCUAGAAUGUCUUGUUUAUGGGACGCAAGUCCUUUAAAUCUUAUACAACUUUCAACAACGGAUCUCUUGGCUCUC